AUAAGUUAUUAAGGGCACACAGGGAAUGCCUUGGAUUUGAGAGGCUAUGAAAGACGUGAUACGCUGCGAUAAGCUACGGGGAGAAGCAAAUAUUUAUUGAUCCGUAGAUUUCUGAAUGGGGCAACCCGUUAUGUUGAAGACAUAACAUCUGUCGUAAGAUAGAAGCUAACCUGGAGAACUGAAACAUCUAAGUACCCAGAGGAAGAGAAAACAAUAGUGAUUUUGAGAGUAGCGGCGAGCGAAAUCGAAGUAGCCCAAACCAGAGUUGUUUCGGCAACUUUGGGGUUGUAGGACUACAAUGUGGACUUAUGUAUUAUAAUUGAAUAGAGUUGGAAAGCUCAACCGUAGAGGGUGAUAGUCCCGUAAAUGAAAUAGUGCAUAUACCUAGUAGUAUCCUGAGUAGGGCGGGACAUGUGAAAUCCUGUCUGAAUCUAGCAGAACCAUCUGUUAAGGCUAAAUACUCCUCAAAUACCGAUAGUGAACCAGUACCGUGAGGGAAAGGUGAAAAGAACCCUGAAUAAGGGAGUGAAAAAGAUCCUGAAACUGUGUGCCUACAAGCGGUCGGAGCCUACGGGUGACGGCGUGCCUUUUGCAUAAUGAUCCUACGAGUUACUCCUCAUUAGCGAGAUUAAGAUUUUAAGAAUCGUAGUCGAAGCGAAAGCAAGUCUGAAUAGGGCGAUUUAGUUAAUGGGGGUAGACGCGAAACCUUGUGAUCUAUCCAUGGUCAGGUUGAAGUUCCGGUAACACGGAAUGGAGGACCGAACUGAUAUACGUUGAAAAGUGUUCAGAUGAACUGUGGAUAGGGGUGAAAGGCCAAUCAAACUAGGAAAUAGCUCGUACUCCCCGAAAUGCAUUUAGGUGCAGCGUUCAGGUAGAGUCUUAUAGAGGUAGAGCUACUGAUUGGGCUAGGGGGCUUCACCGCCUACCAAACCCAGACAAACUCCGAAUGCUAUAAGAUAUACUGAGCAGUGAGGGCAUGGGUGCUAAGGUCCAUGUCCGAGAGGGAAAGAACCCAGACCAUCGGCUAAGGUCCCAAAAUAUACGCUAAGUUGAACUAACGUGGUUCGAUUGCAUAGACAGCUAGGAUGUUGGCUUGGAAGCAGCCAUUCAUUUAAAGAGUGCGUAACAGCUCACUAGUCGAGCGAUCGAGCGUGGAUAAUAAUCGGGCAUAAGCGUAUUACCGAAGCUGUGGAUUUACAACAAUAGUUGUGAGUGGUAGGGGAGCAUUCUAUGUGCGUUGAAUGUGUACUUUGAGGUAUGCUGGAGCGCAUAGAAAAGCAAAUGUAGGAAUGAGUAACGAUAAAGCAGGCGAGAAACCUGCUCACCGAUAGACUAAGGUUUCCUGAGCGACGCUAAUCGGCUCAGGGUUAGUCGGGACCUAACGCGAACCCGAGAGGGGUAGUGGAUGGAUAAUGGGUUAAUAUUCCCAUACUAAUUGUAACUGCGAUGGGGUGACGGAGUGAUGAAAGAUCUGCGAACUGACGGAAUAGUUCGUUAAAGCGUGUAGCUAUAUUUGGUGUAGGCAAAUCCGCACCGAAUGGCCAAUGUGAUAGUACCACAAGUCUACGGAUGAGUGGAUAAUGAUCCUAAGUGCUUCCAAGAAAAACCUCUAAGCUUCAGGUUACAAUUACUCGUACCGCAAACCGACACAGGUAGUCAAGGAGAGAAUCCUAAGGUGCUCGAGUGAAUCAUGGCUAAGGAACUAGGCAAAAUCGUCUCGUAACUUCGGGAGAAGAGACGCCUCUCAUCUGAGAGGCCGCAGUGAAUAGGCCCAGGCGACUGUUUAUCAAAAACACAUGGCUUUGCGAAAACGAAAGUUGAAGUAUAAGGCCUGACACCUGCCCGGUGCCGGAAGGUUAAGAGGAGAUGUCAUCUUCGGAGAAGCAUUGAAUUGAAGCCCCGGUAAACGGCGGCCGUAACUAUAACGGUCCUAAGGUAGCGAAAUUCCUUGUCGGGUAAGUUCCGACCUGCACGAAUGGUGCAACGAUCUGGGCACUGUCUCAGCCAUGAGCUCGGUGAAAUUGUAGUAUCGGUGAAGAUGCCGAUUACCCGCAACGGGACGGAAAGACCCCGUGAACCUUUACUAUAGCUUCACAUUGACAUUGGACACUUUAUGUGUAGGAUAGGUGGGAGACUUUGAUGCUGCGUCGCUAGGCGUAGAGUAGUCGUUGUUGAAAUACCACCCUUAAAUUGUUUGAUGUCUAACCUGUCCUUGAUGGGGACAUUGUGUGGUGGGUAGUUUGACUGGGGUGGUCGCCUCCAAAAGAGUAACGGAGGCUCCUAAAGGUACCCUCAACACGGUUGGUAAUCGUGUGUAGAGUGUAAUGGCAUAAGGGUGCUUGACUGAGAGACCUACAAGUCGAUCAGGUAGGAAACUAGAGCAUAGUGAUCCGGUGGUUCCGCAUGGAAGGGCCAUCGCUCAAAGGAUAAAAGGUACUCCGGGGAUAACAGGCUUAUCACUCCCAAGAGCUCAUAUCGACGGAGUGGUUUGGCACCUCGAUGUCGGCUCGUCACAUCCUGGGGCUGGAGAAGGUCCCAAGGGUUGGGCUGUUCGCCCAUUAAAGUGGCACGCGAGCUGGGUUCAGAACGUCGUGAGACAGUUCGGUCCCUAUCUGUUGUGGGCGUUAGAUUUUUGAGAGGACCUUCCUCUAGUACGAGAGGACCGGGGAGGACAUACCUCUGGUGUACCUGUUGUGGCGCCAGCUGCAUCGCAGGGUAGCUACGUAUGGAUGAGAUAAGCGCUGAAAGCAUCUAAGCACGAAACUCACCUCAAGAUGAGAAAUCUUUUAAGGGCCGUGGAAGACUACCACGUUGAUAGGCUACAGGUGUAAAGACAGUAAUGUCAAAGCCGAGUAGUACUAAUAACCCGUAAACUUAUAGU
rnacentral:rRNA from 1 species